CCUACGGUGGGCAGCAGUGGGGGAUAUUGGACAAUGGGGGGAACCCUGAUCCAGCGACGCCGCGUGAGUGCAGAAGUAUUUCGGUAUGUAAAGCUCUUUCAGCAGGGAAGAAAGAAAUGACGUUACCUGAUUAAGAAGCCCCGGCUAACUACGUGCCAGCAGCCGCGGUAAUACGUAGGGGGCAAGCGUUAUCCGGAUUUACUGGGUGUAAAGGGAGCGUAGACGGUGAUGCAAGUCAGAAGUGAAAGCCCGGGGCUCAACUCCGGGACUGCUUUUGAUACUGUGUAACUGGAGUGCAGGAGAGGUAAGCGGAAUUCUUGGUGUAGCGGUGAAAUGCGUAGAUAUCAGGAGGAACACCAGUGGCGAAGGCGGCCUACUGGACUGUAACUGACGUUGAGGCUCGAAAGCGUGGGGAGCAAACAGGAUUAGAUACCCGAGUAGUC
rnacentral:rRNA from 1 species